UUGAGCAGUGAGUCUCAUUCUUCUCAGUAAAUCUUCUCGCUGUGUAGUGAGAAAACUGAGGGCUGGAGAGGCUCUGCGACCUGCCUAGGACCACAGAACUCGAUACAAUGAAAACUCCUAUUUUAAAAUCCAGCCCUGAGUGGGAAGAUUUGGGAAGAAUCGUUAAUAUUGAGACACAGAGGAAGAAAGAGAGGAUCAGGUGAGAGUACACCUCCCCCCUUCAUGGCCUCCUCCUCCCCGCAGAGAAUUACGUGUACCAGAGACUGUUUGAAUGCUAUGCGUUUAACGGGACACAGCGCCUCCUGGACAGACUCAUCUACAACCAGGAGGAGUACAUCCGCUUCGACAGCGACCUUGGGGAGUACAGGACGGUGACGGAGCUGGGACGGCGUACUGCUGAGUACUGGAACAGCCAGAAGGACAUCCUGGAGCUGGAGCGGGCCGAGGUGGACAGGGUGUGCAGACACAACUAUGAGCUGGAGGAGCCACUCAUCCGGAAGCGCCAAGUCCAGCCUAAGGUGAACGUCUCCCCCUCCAAGAAGGGGCCCUUGCAGCACCACAACCUGCUUGUCUGCCACGUGACGGAUUUCUACCCAGGCAGCAUUCAAGUCCGAUGGUUCCUGAAUGGACAGGAGGAAACAGCUGGGGUCGUGUCCACCAACCUGAUCCGUAAUGGAGACUGGACCUUCCAGAUCCUGGUGAUGCUGGAAAUUACCCCCAAGCAGGGAGACGUCUACACCUGCCAAGUGGAGCACCCCAGCCUGGACAGUCCUGUCACCGUGGAGUGGA
rnacentral:sRNA from 1 species